rnacentral:lncRNA from 1 species
CAAGUCAACUUAAGUAAUCUGUGGAUUGUUUGUAAGUAGUGAAGUUUUGGAGAGAUGGGAAGGAAAUAAAGUGUCGACAGAUGGUAAGCAGGGAAGGUUGCACAUGGCAUCACCGACACUCUUAAAGCCUUGGACAAUGCAUCAGAGCUAAGUACAGUUGAAAGGUUUUGUUUAUGGUCUUCUUGCCCUUUUGGCUUCUCCUAAAAGCAUAGAAACUAUACGACGAUUGUUUAACUUAAUUAUUCUAUUUGUU